GCUACUGCUACGUUUUCCAUUACUUCCUCUAUUUUCCAUACAGAGACUUACUUGCCAACCACCGCCAAACUACCAAUUAAUGGGGUUUUCCCUGCCGGUGUGGGCAAAAAUUUUUAGAUUGAAAGGAAACAAUUAAUGAAAAAGUAGGUCAAAUGACUACUGAACAAUAUUGCCCAUUUUCGUACAAAUGUCCAAGGAGUGCAUUGCAUUGUAACUUUCAACCGACAAAAAUAA